rnacentral:lncRNA from 1 species
ACCCGACCCGAUGGGUAUGCACCCUACCCAAAUUCGGUCAAACCCAAAAAAGAGGGUUUGAUCGGGUUUGGGUUUAGGUUUGGGUUUGGGUAAAAUCCAAAAAUUGUAGCACGGAUAUGGAUAGGGUAUGGAUAGUACUAUUUUCUAUCUAAACCCAAAUUCAAACCCGAUCCGAAUGUACGGGUAUAGGUAAUACCUGAACCCAUACCUGAAUAUAUAUUGUUUAUAAUUCUAUUUUGGUAAUUCUAUUUUGAUUGAUAAUAUAUAUAAAAUUAUUUUGGUUAUUUAUAUAUUCUAUGUUGAA